rnacentral:rRNA from 1 species
UGGGGAAUAUUGCGCAAUGGGGGAAACCCUGACGCAGCGACGCCAUGUGAAGGAUGAAGGCUUUAGGGUCGUAAACUUCUGUCAAGAGGGACGAAAAUUUGACUGUACCUCUUAAGAAAGCACCGGCUAACUCCGUGCCAGCAGCCGCGGUAAUACGGAGGGUGCAAGCGUUAUUCGGAAUUACUAGGUGUAAAGGGCGUGUAGGCGGUUUAAUAAGUUAGAUGUGAAAGCUCAUAGCUCAACUGUGAGACGGCAUCUAAAACUAUUAGACUUGAGUAUGGAAGGGGAAAACGGAAUUUCUAGUGUAGCGGUGGAAUGUGUAGAUACUAGAAGGAACAUCGAUGGCGAAAGCGGUUUUCUGGUCUAAUACUGACGCUAAGGCGCGAAAGCUAGGGGAGCAAACAGG